rnacentral:rRNA from 1 species
GACUUCUGGUUUAAUGCACCUGGCCCGCGGCCGUAAGGUCUGUGAGUGCCGGCGCGCGUUUACCAUCCUUCUAGAAAACGGGUCUUCCCUUAACUGGGCCGGAUUCGGGAUCUAGAUCAUUUACUUUGAAAAAAUUAGAGUGUUUAAAGCAGGCUAUUGCUGUGAAUACAUUAGCAUGGAAUAAUAAUCUAGGACUUCGGUUCUAUUUUGUUGGUUUCUAUGACUGAAGUAAUGAUUGAUAGGGAUAGUUGGGGGUGCUAGUAUUCAGCGGCCAGAGGUGAAAUUCUCGGAUUCGCUGAAGACUAACUUAUGCGAAAGCAUU